rnacentral:rRNA from 1 species
GAUGAACGCUGGCGGCGUGCCUAACACAUGCAAGUCGAACGAAGCACCUUACCUGAUUCUUCGGAUGAAAGUUUGGUGACUGUGUGGCGCACGGGUGAGUAACGCGUUGGUAACCUGCCCUGUAUAGGGGGAUAACAGCUGGAAACGGCUGCUAAUACCGCCUAAGCGCACGAGGAGACAUCUCCUUGUGUGAAAAACUCCGGCGGUACAGUUUGGGCCCGCGUCUGAUUAGCUGGUUGGCAGGGUAACGGCCUACCAAGGCAACGAUCAGUAGCCGGUCUGAGAGGAUGAACGGCCAAAAUGGAGCUGAGACACGGGCCCAGCACCGACGGGAGGCAGCAGUGGGGAAUAUUGGACAAUGGGGGAUACCCUGGUGCAGCAACGCCGCGUGAGUGAAGAAGUAUAUCGGUAUGUAAAGCUCUAUCAGCAGGGAAGAUAAGGACGGUACCUGACUAAGAAGCUCCGGCUAAAUACGUG